GAUGAAGAACGUAGUGAAAUGCGAUAAGUAAUGUGAAUUGCAGAAUUCAGUGAAUCAUCGAAUCUUUGAACGCACAUUGCGCCCGUCAGUUUUCUGGCGGGCAUGCCUGUUCGAGCGUCAUUACGCCCCUCAAGUCCCCUGUGGACUUGGUGUUGGGGAUCGGCGAGGCUGGUUUUCCAGCACAGCCGUCCCUUAAAUUAAUUGGCGGUCUCGCCGUGGCCCUCCUCUGCGCAGUAGUAAAACACUCGCAACAGGAGCCCGGCGCGGUCCACUGCCGUAAAACCCCCCAACUUUUUAUAGUUGACCUCGAAUCAGGUAGGACUACCCGCUGAACUUAAGCAUAUCAAUAAGCGGAGGA
rnacentral:misc_RNA from 1 species